rnacentral:rRNA from 1 species
AUGAAGCCCCCGAUUUCUAAACGACCCUGCCGGAGAGGCUGGAAGUCGUCGCCGGAAUCAGCACUGCCUUUACCCUCCGGCAGUAGCAGUAGCAGCUUCAUCCCCGAUGAAAUAAUCUUCUUCGAGAUACUGGUACUUCUUCCGGUCAAGUCCCUCCUGCGCUUCCAAGCCGUGUGCAAGUCAUGGCGCGCCACAUUAACCAGCACCCCUUUCGUCCGCAGGCACCUGGAGCUCUCAAGGUCGACCAUGGUCGUGGUGCCGCGCAAGUACCAGGCCUCUCGAUUCCUCAACGUCUUCAGCUUCCAGCCAGGCGAAAGCAAGUGCGCCGAGCUGAUGGUCCGAAAGGAGUUUCAGCCGCAUGGGAUCCCGGCGUUCAGCAUUCCUCUCCACUGCGACGGCCUCAUCUUGAUCCCUGCCUUAAUGGGGACAAUUUUCAUCUGCAACCCGGCCACUGGAGAGUUUGUUGAGUUGCCACCUGGAAGCCCCAGCCUUCUCCAUGAACACAGGGUGGCCUUUGGCUUUGAUCCCUGGAGUGGUACCUACAAGGUGGCCAGGCACUUCAUCCGCUCCUACAGAGAUAUUCCACAAAUGGAUGUGGAAGAAGGAGGCACCACCACCACCACGAGUAGAGAAUACAGCUGCGGACAUGAGAUGUUGACAUUCGGUGGCGACGUCGGCAAGGAACAAGCAGCUUGGGUAUGGAAGGCCACCGUGGAUCCGCCGUACCCUAUCAAGGCCAGGACCCCGAUUUGUCUCCCGGGGGCCUUCUUUUGGAGUGCUCUCAAGUCCAUGCUACUACCUGCAAAGGUUAUCUCGAACGUCAUCCUUCGAUUCAGUUUACUUGAUGAAACAUUUACGGUGCACCCUAACCCUCCAUGCAGCGAUAUUCUAGGCAGGAACGAUUCACUAUGUGCGCUAGGUGAAAAGUUAUGCUAUAUCCACUCUACCUCACCGUGGGACAUUUCCAUUUGGUUGGCGGAGGAUGGACCAAAUCUGGCUUGGUCACUAUGCCGCCGAGUCUGCCUGCCGAUACCAAGAAUGCUUCUUGCCUUUGCUUGCGCCUCGACUGACCGGGACAAGAUAUUCAUCUCCGUUGAUGCGUGCAUCCUUCUCCGGUGUGAUCUCCGUGACGGAUCCCUUGAAGAAAUAAUCAACAUGCCACGUGACAUGCUGUAUGAUCUCCGGAACGGCAGAAAAAUCAACAUUGGUGCGCUCUUUGUUGCCCACUACACGGUGCCAUAUGUGGAAUCACUCCUGCGCAUCAGGCCUUCGAGAUAA